rnacentral:rRNA from 1 species
AAAUGAAUUGACGGGGGCCCGCACAAGCAGUGGAUUAUGUGGUUUAAUUCGAAGCAACGCGAAGAACCUUACCAGGUCUUGACAUCCCUUGCAUAUCCUGGAGACAGGAGAAGCCCUUCGGGGCAAGGAGACAGGUGGUGCAUGGUUGUCGUCAGCUCGUGUCGUGAGAUGUUGGGUUAAGUCCCGCAACGAGCGCAACCCUUACGAAUAGUUGCUACGCAAGAGCACUCUAUUAGGACUGCCGUUGACAAAACGGAGGAAGGUGGGGACGACGUCAAAUCAUCAUGCCCCUUAUGACCUGGGCGACACACGUAAUACAAUGGCGGUCAACAGAGGGAAGCGAAGCCGCGAGGCGGAGCGAAUCUUCAAAAGCCGUCUCAGUUCGGAUUGCAGGCUGCAACCCGCCUGCAUGAAGUCGGAAUUGCUAGUAAUCGCGGAUCAGCAUGCCGCGGUGAAUACGUUCCCGGGCCUUGUACACACCGCCCGU